rnacentral:rRNA from 1 species
ACUCCUACGGGAGGCAGCAGUAGGGAAUAUUGGGCAAUGGAGGCAACUCUGACCCAGCCAUGCCGCGUGAAGGAUGACUGUCCUAUGGAUUGUAAACUUCUUUUGUUAGGGACGAAACCCUUGGAUUCAUCCGAGGCUGACGGUACCUAAAGAAUAAGCACCGGCUAACUCCGUGCCAGCAGCCGCGGUAAU